UCCACGUUACUUUACUUUGGGACUGCUGAUAUGGAUUCUGACCAAGCGAAGCUUCCAUCAGAGACCCUGUACUCUAUGCCAGCAUAAAGUGCCAUGCAUGCAAAUACAGGCCAUUCAACAAGUUGUAUCCCUGCCUGCAUUGUCUUUCUCUGGGAACAACAAGGGACUCUGCCAUGGAUGACCCCUCUCUUAUGAAAGAAAAUAGAGAAUCACAAUCAAUCCUCUGACAAACGAUGAAGUUCAGUCUCCUGAUCACAGCUUUAAAAAAUCCUAAGGCACAGAAUAGCUCUACAGAAUGAAAAACAGAAAAGAGUAUCUUUUGAUAAGCUAAUGAAAUCUCUCCAGUAAAAUGCAACCCCUGUACAUAUUGGAGUUUACAAGAACCAUCCCUGAAGUAUGGAAUCUAAGCUCAUGGAUCCAGGGGAGUUGUGGAUCAUAGAGCCAAGUAUCCUGUCAUUGUUCUACAAAACAAUAAAUAAUGAAGCCAAUUGAAGAUGUGUGAAUUGUGCCAGGUUGACAGAAAUGGAGCCCAUGUUCUCAGAGGUGUUACAGCAGUAUUUCCUAACGAGCAGCCUGAGCCACUCUCCAACACCACAGAACCAAAUAGAGAUAGAGGAUAAGAAAGUGGAAGGAAGGAGAAAAGCAAGAAGACAACAAAGCUAUAAGAAGAUAUUUAUUUGGACUGAAUUAGUAGUUGCUGGAGCUGGCACACCUACAUGAAAUGAACAAAGAUAGUGAAGUAUAUUUUAACCAUCAGGCAUGAAAUUUCAUACAAGUCACUCUUCUUUAAUACACAUUGGAAAAAAAAACCCUCCCACAAAAUUUUUACUUUAUACGUGUAAUGUGUAAAUGAGAACACUAAACAUAGGUAAUUGUAUUUGUUCAAGAGUGUUUACUUGGUGUCUCCGAAAAACAACCAAAGUGCACCUCUGCUGAGAGGACUUCCUUGGCGAUAUCUAAAGUAGCCUCAUCCUCAAACUUUUUCCUAAAAUCACUCUACCACUAUCUUGAAUUAUCUUCCUUCUAUAACUCAUCUGUUUAGAAAUGAUUUAUUUUGUGUUUUUUAAAAAUCUGUCACAUUAUAGAAUAUAAAUUCUGUGAGGAGAGUGGCUUUAUUUGU